AGAGGCGGGAAGGCUGAGGAACUUCUUGAGGCUGUUUGGUAAUGACACAGGAAGAGCCGAGGAAAAGGCUCGGGAGGGGCCAGCCCCCUUCCCCCACCCCCUCUCCUGGCUCCGGGCCUCUCUAGGCUAGGGGCCUGUGCUGGGCACUGAGCACUGGGGCCUGGAAAAAGAGGAAGUUAAGGCGGAGGCGCCUGCUCUGAAGGAAGGAACUGCCACAGUGACAAGUCCAGACAACUUGCCUGCAGGUGAAAGCUGCCUUCUUGUUAAAAAAGAGCCUCUCAACAAUGAACUUACAACCCCCAGAAAAACCUGAAACCCCCAGGGUGCCACCUACCUCUCCAUCAAGGUGAUCUACCAAAAUGCACAUGCUGGACAUCAGGAUGUCUGGAAUACGCUCUGCCAGUUCUGUCAAGAAGGCUGCAAAGCCCUUUGCCCCUGAAGUGUCCCGACUCAGCUCCAAGGGACACUUCUGUCCAAUCUCUCUGUGCAGGGAGAAAACACAGCCAAGCAGGAUAAUUCAGUUCCCAGCGAGAGAAGGUCAGAAUGGUAUCUAACAGCUGAAGGAAUCCAGUGCUGCACAGAGAAUAUACUGUAUUUCCAACCUUUCUUUAUCCUCUCCCUGAGAGAAAUGAGAAUUAGAAACUCAGAGGUGGAAGAAUUACCUUACAAUCUCUCCCACUAUGCUCUUCAUUCCAUAGUCAGUUGCCCACAGACUCACAGCCGCCACUAGCACAGGCGCUAGGUGUUCAAAGUGCUGCAGCAUCUGGAUGAUCUUCACAGUGGCACCUGUGGAAGUUCUGAACAUGAGACUUUAUGGGCAAAAUGAAAAAGUUGGGGCAAAGUGAAGCACUGACUUACUGAGCAUAUGGUUAUAAUGUGUCAAGGCUACACCGAGCAGGUGUGUUAUGGCUUCCCGGGUGGGACGGUUCUUCUGGUGACUAAUGGUGGGGUUCUCCAGAAGGCGG